rnacentral:lncRNA from 1 species
GAGGGGCACGCACAUCCAUGGGAUGGGACGCUGCCAUGGAGAUGGAACUCCUUCUCCACACCACGUAGAGGCCCCAUGGAGCCCCCCUCCUUCUCCGGUGACUCUUCUCAGGCCCGACCCCCUACCUCCCCCCUCUCUUGUACUUUGAGCUGUACCAGCUCUGUUUUAGAUUCUGAAGGCCUCUGUACUUGAAUCUGAAACAUGGUUAAUCCCUUCAGGGUAUAUAUGGCAAGUUAGGUGGUUGCUUCAGUCUGAGGUUAAUCCCUUUAUUGGCCGUUGUUUAGGGUUGAUUAGAUUAGCCUUUUCCAAGGAAAUCUGUUAUAUAUUUUUGACAGCUACGGAUAUGCUUUUCUAAUUGUAGUGUGACAGCUUUAACCGAAGUCUGUUUAGUUCACUCAGCCUUCUAUUCAUUGAUUUUGUAUAUGGUUCUUGAAAGUAGAGUCUGCUAAGCAUUUGAGAGUGUUCUAGUUUUCUUAAUCAUUGCGACUAUGCGCUCUGGGUUAAAAUUCUAAAUUUUCUCUUUAUAGGAGCUUCAGAAGGGUUGCUCACCAACGAACUAGAAGAUUGUUUUGUCCUGGGCAUUGACAUGAUUAAGGAAGAAUUUGCUUAUUCCUGGAUGUGCUAUGCAGAUCAAAGGUGAGCUCUUCCUAUUUUCUUUCUUCAAUCUUAGCCGAAGAUUUAUCUCCGGUUUCCUUGCAUUUGUCAUGCUAGUUCUUUGUGUAGAUGUGCCAGCUAGCUUAGAAUCUGUAUCAUCAUCUUUGUCUUUGAGUAGAACUGAACUGGGAUUUGCUUUUUGCAUCUUAACUAUGUGUCCUUUGAUGUGCUUUACUCUAUAGAUUUAUUACCCUGAACUAAUGAAAGGACUUCUAGAGAAAUUAUUGAUUGCUAGGGCCUCGAUUUAUCAACUAUUCUAUAUUUUUACAAACUAAAGGCCAAAUCAUUCCUCUUUGGGAUGAAACAGAUCAUAUAUGUGGUGUCGAAAAAGACCGUAGUCUGAUCAUACAAGACCUUAUUGAUUGUUUAUCCUACUUGCAUGGUCUGAUCUAUCCGAGGGGCAACCAAGACCAGGAGAGAACAAUGUUUCGGUUGUUUCGGCUACUUCCUUUUCAGUGCUUAUUAUUUUGCAUUGCAUGAUCUGCAGUUUAAGGUAUACAAAUAGUCAUCCAUGGUCCAGGUGAGGUGCUUCUUUUGUUGGUUAGCUCAUGCUUGCAUUUUGGUGCUUGGAUUGUGAUCCUUUGUUCUAUGCAAAAAUCUCGAGGUAAGCGUUGGUUUCAGGCUCGGGCUACCUGGUUGUAGGGCUGGUGUUGGUUGUUUGAUUUGUUGAGAUGCUUAUUCGCUUGUUAUCCAGUUGCAACUUGGCUUUGAAAGUCGCGGUCUAUUUCCUUUCAAGGUGUUGCGAGGGUUGGCUACUGUAGGGAGUCUUCCUAUGUUGCCUGCCUAUAUUGUUUGCACUGUUUUUUUUGUUUCUUCAGGCAUGCCACUACAGAUUGAUUUGAUGAUUAAAGCAUGUAUCGGUGAUGUAGUCCUAUUGUGAAGAUGUUUAUUGUUUCAUUUUUGUAAUGUAGGAAUGUAUAUCCUUUCAAGUUCACUGAUGCGGUCACCACUACAACACACGUCCCUCCAAGGACCAAGGGUGGGCAUGAUCUUCUACAAGGUUGUUGUCUGUGACUAUUAGGACGGGAUCAACUUUGCGGUGUCCCCAUUGCUACAAGUCAAGCUAAUAGAGCUAAAUGGGUAUCCAAUUUUAGAAAGCACCCUUAAGAAACAUGCACACAUGUCUUUAGAUCCUAUGGAGCAUUCCUAAUAAUGACCAUCUAUUUAACUAUCUUGGAUCAUUACCAUUACAAAAUGCAGCAUGGCAUUCAUAAUGUUCAGUUAUUCAUAAAUGUGGCAUUUAAUUCUUCUCCUAGCAAGAUAUUUAAGCAUGUUGCAUAUACCAAUCUGUUGAUAAUUCAAUUAUUGAUUC